rnacentral:rRNA from 1 species
GACAGAGGGUGCAAACGUUGUUCGGAAUUACUGGGCGUAAAGCGAGUGUAGGCGGUUUGGUAAGUCGGAUGUGAAAGCCCUGGGCUCAACCCAGGAAGUGCAUUCGAUACUGUCAAGCUAGAGUAUCGGAGAGGUUGGUGGAAUUCUCGGUGUAGAGGUGAAAUUCGUAGAUAUCGAGAGGAACACCGGUGGCGAAGGCGGCCAACUGGACGAAUACUGACGCUGAGGCACGAAAGCGUGGGGAGCAAACAGG